rnacentral:rRNA from 1 species
AUGAACGCUGGCGGCGUGCCUAAUACCUGCAAGUCGAGCGAACAGAUGAGGAGCUUGCUCCUCUGACGUUAGCGGCGGACGGGUGAGUAACACGUGGAUAACCUACCUAUAAGACUGGGAUAACUUCGGGAAACCGGAGCUAAAACCGGAUAAUAUAUUGAACCGCAUGGUUCAAUAGUGAAAGACGGUUUUGCUGUCACUUAUAGAUGGAUCCGCGCCGCAUUAGCUAGUUGGUAAGGUAACGGCUUACCAAGGCAACGAUGCGUAGCCGACCUGAGAGGGUGAUCGGCCACACUGGAACUGAGACACGGUCCAGACUCCUACGGGAGGCAGCAGUAGGGAAUCUUCCGCAAUGGGCGAAAGCCUGACGGAGCAACGCCGCGUGAGUGAUGAAGGUCUUCGGAUCGUAAAACUCUGUUAUUAGGGAAGAACAAAUGUGUAAGUAACUAUGCACGUCUUGACGGUACCUAAUCAGAAAGCCACGGCUAACUACGUG